AAUGAACAGCAUGUUCACAUUCAUGAAAACAGGAUCUCAGUCAGAUCACUCAGUGCAUAAGGCUAAGAACCCAUCCCUAUGAGACCCUACCAGAAGUACAUCUGCUUGUUGCCUUGAUUGUAAAGAUCUGCCAUGUGAACACCUGAUACAAAUAACUCAUAAAAAC